UGAUGAACUGAAGAUUUCAAAUUUUUAUUCAUCAGUCCAUAAUGGCUUCUUCCAGUCUUCAGUAGUCCACUGGCAGCGUUUCAUGGCCCAGGGCCAGUGUUGUGCAGAUGGGCAGCACUGCUGUGUGGAGCCAGAACAAUGGGAACUGCUAAUGUCACAACAAAACACACACCAGUGAGACAUUAUUUCCCACACUGCUCACUUCACUUUGGGAAGCUCCAGUGAGUGUCCUGCACUCAUCACCAUGCUAGCCCUCUACAUGUUAGCCGCUGUGCUAAUUACCUAAGGUCUUCCAUUGCUACAUGAGGCUGUUGUGCUUCGGCUGUGCGAUGACUUUGUCAUGAACUGCUAUCAAAACAUUUGGUAUAGUUAAGGCAUACUUAAAGCUCAUCCCUUGCUGUAAUUGUUGUAGAUAUGUGAUUUGAUUUGAGAUUUUCCUGUAACCAAGACCAGUGUUGCAAGUUUAGCUAGCAAUGGCAAGAAGUGGAGAAGUCAGCUCCCGCAGAUGGUUAUCUUCAGGGUUCUAAGAAUGUUUAAGACAGCAGCG
ensembl:lncRNA